rnacentral:rRNA from 1 species
UACGUAUGGUGCAAGCGUUAUCCGGAUUUACUGGGUGUAAAGGGAGCGCAGGCGGCACGGCAAGCCUGAUGUGAAAGCCCGCGGCCCAACCGCGGGACUGCAUUGGGAACUACCGGGCUGGAGUGCCGGAGAGGUAGGCGGAAUUCCUAGUGUAGCGGUGAAAUGCGUAGAUAUUAGGAGGAACACCAGUGGCGAAGGCGGCUUACUGGACGAUGACUGACGCUGAGGCUCGAAAGCGUGGGGAGCAAACAGG